rnacentral:rRNA from 1 species
GACGAACGCUGGCGGCGUGCCUAAUACAUGCAAGUUGAGCGCUGAAGGUUGGUACUUGUACCAACUGGAUGAGCAGCGAACGGGUGAGUAACGCGUGGGGAAUCUGCCUUUGAGCGGGGGACAACAUUUGGAAACGAAUGCUAAUACCGCAUAAAAACUUUAAACACAAGUUUUAAGUUUGAAAGAUGCAAUUGCAUCACGCAAAGAUGAUCCCGCGUUGUAUUAGCUAGUUGGUGAGGUAAAGGCUCACCAAGGCGAUGAUACAUAGCCGACCUGAGAGGGUGAUCGGCCACAUUGGAACUGAGACACGGCCCAAACUCCUACGGGAGGCAGCAGUAGGAAUCUUCGGCAAUGGACGAAAGUCUGACCGAGCAACGCCGCGUGAGUGAAGAAGGUUUUCGGAUCGUAAAACUCUGUUGGUAGAGAAGAACGUUGGUGAGAGUGGAAAGCUCAUCAAGUGGCGGUAACUACCCAGAAAGGGACGGCUAACUACGUG